GCUUUCGUGGUGUAACGGUGACACACUCAGCACAUACUCGAGAGGUCCAGGUUCGAGUCCCGGCGAGGGCG
rnacentral:tRNA from 1 species